UCUAACAGCAGUGGAUGGGACUUCUCAAAACUAAAGGAAUCGUGAUGAGUAGUAAAACAACCCACAACUGAAAAUUCGCUCUCCUUCUAGCUACUGGGAGCUACUCUGUGGCCUGGAUGACUGAGCGCCUCCAUGGACCUACUGUUUAAGAAAUCACAUCAUAGUCCAAGAAAACAUUUGGUCCUCAUAUGCAGCCCACAUUCACUGCUCCUUGUACAGCGUGACUCUACACUCCACUGAUGCACUAGCAGUGGGAGCAGCAGCAACAACGCAGUACAGGAUGAGAGGGGGGACAAAGCUGGACUCCUCCGUGC